rfam:Triticum urartu cultivar G1812 contig71885, whole genome shotgun sequence.
UUUGUACUCCCUCCGUCCCAAAAUUCUUGUCUUAAUUUUGUCUAUAUACGGAUGUAUCUAGUUAUAUUUUAGUGUUAGAUACAUCUGUAUCUAAACAAAUGUAAGACAAGAAUUUUGGGACGGAGAGAAUACUAC